ensembl:lncRNA
CAUUCCCAGAAGUACAACAGUGUGAUGGGGCUGUUAUCACUUAGACCAGCUAGAGGGUGGUUUCUGAUCUAGCUCCAAAUGCCGUCCAUCUAAACCUGCAGAAAUUAACCUCUGCAUCUUUUGAGAUGUAUUCAAAUCUACAGGCCUGAAAAGAUGCCCUGCGUUUCCCCAUAUGUCAGAGUAGUGAGGUCAGCAUGAAUUCCAAGUCCUGAAGCCACAGAGCUGAAGUGCAAACUUGGAGCUUGGGCUGUGGAUUGUUUCAGUGAUUCUACUAAGUCUGGCUUACAAGGGUAUUACUUUAAUCUACCAAUGACUUCCUUGCAUAUACAUGUAAUAAUAUACAUCAUCCUGAGUUCCUGGUCAUGCAUACGGCUGCUCAGCUAUGCACAGCCACCUUAUCAGUCAGGCUUCGGUGGUGGUGACUCUGUUGAAAAAAUGGAAGCAAUGAUAAGGAAAAGGCAGUAGAAACUGGAAAUGCUGUUUGCUGCAAACAGUGCCCCAGCUGAGUCCAGGCCAGACUGGACCUGAGCGCACUGAAGGAUAAGGGUCUGACUUCUUUUCCACCUGGUUCUCUGGUGUUUCUGCAUUGCCGGCCAGGGUUGGUGAUCAGCACCUGGACGUGCAGCUAUGGCUGUAAUUCACAGAUGUUAUCUGAGUGCAAUGGAAUAAGGGGCAGAGCCAGGUUCGAAGUGGAUGCCGUGGCUGAACAUCACGGCUCACUCAGCCGCCCAACAGAGACCAUCUGGAUCCGGUUCUGUUCAUCCACCUGAGUUGGAAAACUCUGCCACAAGGAUGACGCCGGGCAGUGUGCAGGUAGUUCAGAGCUGCCGGGGGCUGCAGUGCUCCUCGUGGUCACUAAAGCUGUGAAGGUAAAGCAGCGGUUGCUGAGCUGUGCCCUGGAGACUGACAGGUGAGGCACAGUCGGGGAUUUGGGGCUUCUGGAAGAGCAGCAUUGUAGGAUUUUGCAACUGUUUGAAUUGAAUGCUCCGAAUCAAUCAGCAUUAAUCAGCUCAUGCUGUGAAGUCUACCAAACGUGCUCACUCUUGGUGUGGUUAUUAUCUCCCUUGCUCUCUCGUUCGAGUACUGAAUAACACAGCACUGUUUUCUGCCAUUAAAGGCACACAGGAUUUCAAGCAGGAGAUACACGAUUCCUUUCCUACCAGUUACUUUGCCUUCCCUGCAUCUCUGCCUUGCUCAGCUUCCAGCAUUCCCAGCUGCUCCGUGCUGUGCAGUGCAUGGGCUGUUUGCAGCACACUUGGUUUGCUCCAUCAGAGCACCACUCUGCCCACUGCACCGACUGAUGAACGCGUAAAUCAAAAGUGCAGUUCAAGAAAAACCUUCUGCUCUACCAGACUUGUCUGCAGCAGAAAAAGGAGGCCCGUGUGGGUCAGUGCAGUGUGCCUUCCGAUGUGGGAGAGCUGGGCCCAGCGCAGCCUCGGGCUGCAGCUCCAGACCCACACUGACAGCACUGAGCACUGCCCACACAGCCACGAGGAAUUGUUCUGUCUGACACUUCCCCGAAUGGAAAACCUAAUUCAGCCAACGCAGCACUGAGACUGUGACAGGAAAUUUCCUCCACGAUCUUUCAGGGACCGCAGAACUCUGCUGCAGUCCCAAAAAUGGCACUUCGUAUUUCUGCAAAGCUGUGGAGCCCUGAUCCUCACAGCCCUAUCCGGUGACAAAUCUGUGCCACUCACAUGGAUUUUCCCCUGCAUCUUUCCAGCGUGCGUUUGCUUUUAUGCCUCAGGAAACAGAAAGUCUCCCAUCCUGGUUUCCACCUCCCAUCAGUCAUGCAUGUCUGGUGUUGCCUCCAGGAUCUGAGUGGGGGCUGCCGUACACAGUGUACUUUGCAGCUCGGUUUGAGAGCCCUACCAGGAACCACGCUCAGAACAACAGGAAGCUCUUCCACCCUCCCUCCCCCACCCCCUUUUUUCUGUUCCUCUGCUGCAGAAACUUUCUGAUGCUCAGAUCACAGCCGUCUCUGCAGGGUUAACUGCAGCAUUUGUCACUGGAAAAAAAAGAGAAAAGAAAAAAAGAGACCCUUUAAAAGCAGAUGGUGGGUGAUAGGGAACCUGUCUGAGAGUAAAUAUCUACAGCAGCAUGUCUGCUUCAUCAGAUAUUAGCAUCAAAAGCCGUCUGACGAUUUAGCAACAAACAGCAAUAUUGAUUUUCUUCCAAACCGCAGACAUGGAAGGAACCACAGAGUUGGUUCCUUCAUAGCACCCCGUCACAGCUGGGCAAACAGUGAGGCAGGAGCCGGGCAGUGCCUCCCAGGGCUGGAGGCGAUGCAGGAACACCGGGAUGCUCCUGUUCAGCAGCAGUGUGUGCCACACAGAGCAGCACUGCGCCGGGGCCGGGCUGCUGCCACUGCAGCAAACAGGAGCUGCUGGGUGGGCUGUGAAGGAGCCAGGAGGUGCAGCUCACUUCUCUGGCUGUUUUCAGACACAUUAAUUAAUUGCUACAACACAGACCGGCAGUAAUAGCUGCCACUCCACCUGUGCCGCCCUCAGCAGCCAGCCUGACUUUUUAGACCCUGGCAAUCUGGAAGAAUUCCACCAGAGAACUGAGAUGCAAUGUUUUUUCCCUUUGUUCUCUGUCCUACUAACUCCAUUUUCAUCCGUUGGUGGAAAGGGUUGCUCACGGCCAGCAGCCAGGUCCUGGGAGCACUUUGUGAUGACAAAUGUUUGGUAUUUUCACUUCUGUGGAGAACAGCGUCCUUAUUUUCUGAUUUGAACUCACCACGACUGUUGGUCUCACAUCAGUUAUGUACACUUCUCCCCUGUCUCUCGCUCUGAAAUGCCAGUGAAUCUGGGAAUUUUUGCUCAGAGAUGUGGGGAGCUAACAGGGAUUUCUGGCACAGCCCACAGCGUUCACAGCUACCAAAGCAUCAGCAGAACAGCACAGAGACAUGCGGGCACUGGGACGCACUGAGGUCCAUCUGCUGCUCAUGAAGAGGUAUUCAGAGGGUCACUGCUAAAGCCGGGGCACAAUGGGACAGUUCAAUCUUCUCUUCGUGAGCACUCACACGGCCGUGCCCAGCCCUGGCCAUGGGCACAUCCCCAGUGCUCAGAAAGCAAGGCAGGAAAUAGAGAACAGCUCAUGAGCAAACUGAGAAAUGUGUUCCUGGCACAAACGGGCAGAGUUCCAUUAACUUUCAGUUCUGUGCACUGGGAAGAACUGAGCUGGAUAUCGACUCUGACCUAGUUGAUGUUCUUUACAGCAGCAUCACUGUAUUGUUAAAAUACUAUCUUAAGAGCCAAUUUUUGGUUGUUGUCUUCAUUUUUUUUUUCACCCUAGAGAAAACCGGUGGGGUAAACUUCUAUUAAAUGAAUGUGAAAAAUUGA